rnacentral:rRNA from 1 species
ACCAAGUACUUCUUACCUGAAUAAAAUAGGGCUUGAAGAGCAAACCCGGGGAACUGAAACAUCUAAGUACCCGGAGGAAAGGACAUCAAUAGAGACUCCGUUAGUAGCGGCGAGCGAACGCGGACCAGCCGAGCCAUGAUUGUGAUCAGAACACAUUGGAAAAUGUGGCCAGAGUGGGUGACAGCCCCGUAUGAGAAGCAAGAUUGGACGUAUUAAGUAGGGCGGGACACGUGAAAUCCUGUUUGAAGAUCGGAGGACCACCUCCGAAGGCUAAGUACUCCUUACUGACCGAUAGCGAACCAGUACCGUGAGGGAAAGGUGAAAAGCACCCCGACGAGGGGAGUGAAACAGUACCUGAAACCGGACGCCUACAAUCAGUUGGAGGGGCAUAAGCCCUGACAGCGUACCUUUUGUAUAAUGGGUCAUCGACUUGGUCUAUCUAGCAAGCUUAAGCCGUUAGGUGUAGGCGCAGCGAAAGCGAGUCUUAAUAGGGCGCAUGAGUUAGAUGGAUCAGACCCGAAACCGAGUGAUCUAGGCAUGACCAGGAUGAAGAUAAGGUAACACUUAUUGGAGGUCCGAACCCACACCUGUUGAAAAAGGUCGGGAUGAGUUGUGCCUAGGGGUGAAAGGCCAAUCAAACUCGGAGAUAGCUGGUUCUCCGCGAAAUCUAUUUAGGUAGAGCGUCAUCCGAAU